UACAGAGGGUGCAAGCGUUAAUCGGAAUUACUGGGCGUAAAGCGCGCGUAGGUGGUUUGUUAAGUUGGAUGUGAAAGCCCCGGGCUCAACCUGGGAACUGCAUCCAAAACUGGCAAGCUAGAGUACGGUAGAGGGUGGUGGAAUUUCCUGUGUAGCGGUGAAAUGCGUAGAUAUAGGAAGGAACACCAGUGGCGAAGGCGACCACCUGGACUGAUACUGACACUGAGGCGCGAAAGCGUGGGGAGCAAACAGU
rnacentral:rRNA from 1 species